CUUAUCAAGAGUGGCGGAGGGAACGGCCCGAUGAUGCCCGGCAACCGGCGCAAGGCGUGCGGUGCUAAUUCCGGCGGCGCGAUUGCGCCGGCAGAUAAG
rnacentral:ncRNA from 2 species